rnacentral:sRNA from 1 species
CAGAGGAAGCACCAGGUGUUGAAGACACAUUUAAAAUGGUGCUGACGAAAUGCCGUUACCAAACAGGCAAUUUUAAUA